AUGUGCUCUAGAAACAAGACCAAAAAAAAAAAAGUCAUUCCACUGGUUGGCAUUUGACAUAACUCACUGGCCAGAUCUGAUAUGUUUCAUGAUGAUAUUAAAAAGGCAACACGGUAGAGGGAAGACACAGCAAUUGUCAAAUAGUGAGUUUUCUUACCCUUGCUCACUCCCUAAGAACUUAAUGACCUCUUUAACCUAAGCAGUGCCUGGGGGUGGGGGGAAGUGUGUUGAACUGGACAAAUUCCCAGUCACUAACGAUUCUAAAUAUUCUAUUCAGCCUAAUGAUUUAUACAAAGAUAAUCACUAAAAUUAUGUUCAGGAUAACCGAUUGUACCAAGAUAUCACUGGAAAGUGGUAUCUUGACGGUUUUAAAUGAAAGAACUUAUCAAAAUUUAAAAAUGCAAUCACGAAUAAACUCAACCAUUUUAUGUCAUCUCUUCUAUGUUACCUAUUUUCUAUUUGUGAAUUUAAGGUCAGGAUUUUAUACAAACUACCAUUUAUGUCCGAAGCACAAUUAUUUGCCUUGGGUUUCCUGAUAAUAAUUUUUCUCUUACAUUUUAAUCAAAUUAUUUUCAAAACCUCUUUAACUUUUCUGAAAGCUAGGAAAUGAGGAAAGAACAGAAACCAGUUUAAUGCAAUGAAAAAAUUUUUCAGUUCCACUUAGAACAUCUCAAUGUCUUUCCACUUUCCUUGGUCACUAAAUACUCACAAGGCCUUAUUCUAUUAGUUACUAAGGUAACCCAAAGCUGGCAGCAUGUUGACCUACCUUUCAAGGCCAAGAGAUUUUGCAGUAUUUCAUAGAUAAUGUCACACUAACCUCAAACUUGUCAUUUGUAUAAAAGAACAAUAAUUGUUUGAAUGAAUCUGUUGUAAAUUUGUUCUUUGGGUUUUAUUAAGGGACUUAUUGCUACACUGUCCUUCAGCCCAGGUACUAUUCUGUUUUUAAAAUAAUGGAGUAGUAGAAGUCAGAUAUGUUUAUUGAGUCUUGCAUUAAACCACUCAUUUGCUCCUUAUGUGGAUUAUUCAUAUCCUGGGUCACAAUCUGUGGAGUCAUCCAAAUGGCCCUCAAAAGAGAGGGCAUCCUUUGAUCUACCCUUACAACCCCAUAAAGAUCCACCUAGUGAAAAUUAAGGCAAAAAAGAUGUAUUAGGGAUAAAGGAUAUAAACAGAUGGCCUCUUUUUCUCUUUUUGUCAUUAAUUGCAGUGCAUAAAUUCAGGUGAGAGAAGAAAGAUUUUCUGUCCUCAUGUUAUAAAUGAGACAUUGUAGCCAGGAAUCAAGUGUAUUUAUCCCAUAGCCCAGUGUUACAAUGUGAAUGUAGAUGUGCUUCCAAUUGCACAUAAGAAUCAGAUACCUUCUGAAGUCAGACCAUGCUAAGAGUUCAUUAGUCUUUCCCAAAUAAUCCAAAGUAAUGGUAAAUCUAGAUAAAUGUAAACUUGAGUAGAAAUAUUAAAUAUUAACAAAAUCAAAUAUACUGACAGAAGAUUAUUUCUCUACUCAACAAUUACACACUUAAGAAAAUUUGAGAUAAUUUAUAUACAGCAAAUCUGAUCCAAGAAAACGCCUGAAUCUAAAGACAUAGUAGUGUUCAACUAUUUGCAAACCCUCCCCACAAAUCAAGCUCUAAUAUUUGUGAGUGAUAAGUAAUUCCCUUUUCUAAAGUUCUUUGUUCUAUUUUUCAUUUCUUCUCAGGAGCCCUUAAAUUUAUUUACUUUUGGUUAAAUGCAUCCUCAGGCUUCCUUAAACCUGAACUUAUUCACCUAGAUUUCAUUAAAAAAUAAUUAUUACUUCUGGACAUGGCCAGUUAUAUCAAGGUAAUAUUUAAUUGAUCAAAGGGGUUAAUAAAAUGACUGAAUAAAAUAUUUUUUCUAAAGUGAUAGAACUCUACUCAAUUAGCAAAUAUUUACUACCACCUUGUAAUAAUUAAGAUGCUAAAGGCUGCAAUUAAUUCAGUGGUUUUAUUUUUAUUUACUUGUGUAACUGCCUAUUUAAAGUUUGUUUUAAAUUAAAGCUAAUUUUUAUUACUUCCCUUUAGCAAUCUAUCCUUUGUCUAAGGAGUGGGGAAAUUAUCCACUAUAUUUUAUACUAGAUUAUUAAUAUCUAAAUAUGUUCUAGUUAAUUUGAAGGUGUUAGAAAACAAAUGACAUGUUUUGCUUACUGAAGGAAACCUUGUAAUUGAAAAUGCAAAAUUAGUAAAUACCCUAUUUCUUUACUCAUGAUUUUAAGAAUACCUAUUUGCAUGACAUUUUAUGGUAAAUAAUGAAAAAUAGAAGAUUAGAAGUUGGGAAUUACUUUAUGUCAUAAUACUUCUCAAUAUAUAUAUGUCAUAAUAUUUCUGAAUAUAUAUAGCUCAUUUUGUAGCUAAUAAACUAAUAUUACAUAUACUUGAAAGUUGCUAAGAGAGUAAAUCUUAGGUUUAUUUUAAUUUUUAAUUGAAGUAUAGUUGAUUUACAAUGUUGUGUUAAUUUCUGCUCUACAACAAAGUGAUUCACACAUAUAUACAUUCUUUUAAAUGUAUGUGUAUAUAUAUAUACAUUAAGUGUGUGUGUGUGUAUGUGUAUACACACACAUAUAUAUACAUAUACAUUCUUUUAAAUUUUAUUUUCAGCAUUCCUGUUGUGGUGCAGCAGAAACAAAUCUGACUAGUAUCCAUGAGGAUGCAGAUUUGAUCCCUGGCCUCGCUCUGCAUUGCUGUGAGCUGUGGUGUAGGUCACAGAUGCAGCUCAGAUCCCUUGUUGCUGUGGCUGUGGUGUAGGCCGGCAGCUGCAGCUCCAAUUCAACCCCUAGCCUGGGAACUUCCAUAUGGCCCUAAAAAGCAAAUAAGUAAAUAAAUAAAUAUUAUUUACCAUUAUAAUUUAUCAUAAAAUAUUGAAUAUAGUUCCCCAUGGGACCUUGUUGUUUAUCCAUUCUAUAUAUACCACCUUCCAUCUGCUAAUCACAUCCUCCCACUGUAUCCCUCUCCCAACCCCCUCAAUCUUGGAAACCACAAGUCAGUUCUCUACAUCUGUGAGUCUAUUUCUCUUUUAUAGAUAGGUUCAUUUGUGCCAUCUUUUAGAUUAUACAUAUGUGUGAUCUCAUAUGACAUUUGUCUUUCUCUGUCUGACUUCACUUAGUAUGUUAAUCUCUGGCCUAUCCAUGUUGCUACAAGUGGCAUUAUUUUGUUCUUUUUUAUAGCCAAGUAAUAUUCCAUUGUAUAUAUGUACCACAUCUUUAUUCAUUCAUCUGUUGAUGGACAUUUAGGUUGUUUCCAUGUCUUGGCUAUUGUGAAUAGUGCUGCUAUGAACAUAGGGGUGCAUGCAUCUUUUUGAAUCAAAGUUUUGUCUAUAUAUGUGCCCAGGAGUAUGAUUGCAGGAUCAUAUGGUAAUUCUUUUUUUUUACUUUUCUGAGUUAGAGUAAAUUUUAAAUGCUCUCAUCACAAAGAAGAGAUGGUAAUUAUGUGACAUGGUAGAGAUAUUGACUAAGCCAUUGUGAGAACCAUUUUGUAAUCUAUAAGUGUUUGAAAUCAAUAUGCUGAAAUCAAUAUAUUGCAAUAAAACUGGAAAAAAGACAUAUUUUGUUCACUGAAAUUCAUUUUGAAGAGUAUACAAUUUGAAAACUGAACAAAAAGCUGUAAGACAAAGAAUUGUGUGAAUUUUAAAUAGUUGCAUAUUCAGGUUUGUCU
rnacentral:lncRNA from 1 species